GCAUCGGUGGUUUAGUGGUAAAAUUAGCCGUUGCCAUCGGCUAGCCCCGGGUUCGAGUACGUUCAAAUCCA